rnacentral:SRP_RNA from 1 species
GCCGGGCGCGGUGGCGCGCGCCUGUAGUCCCAGCUACUCGGGAGGCUGAGGCAGGAGGAUCGCUUGCGCCCAGGAGUUCUGGGCUGUAGUGCGCUAUGCAGAUCGGGUGUCCACACUAAGUUCGGCAUCAAUAUGGUGACCUCCCGGGAGCGGGGGACCACCAGGUUGCCUAAGGAGGGGUGAACCGGCCCAGGUCGGAAACGGAGCAGGUCAAAACCCCCAUGCUGAUCUAUAUAUAGGGAGCAUAUAUAUGUAACAUACACAUAAAUACACACACAAAUACAAUUUUU